UACGUAGGGUGCAAGCGUUAAUCGGAAUUACUGGGCGUAAAGCGUGCGCAGGCGGUUUGUCGCGUCUGCUGUGAAAACCUAAGGCUCAACCUUGGGCUUGCAGUGGGUACGGGCAGACUAGAGUGCGGUAGGGGUGACUGGAAUUCCUGGUGUAGCGGUGGAAUGCGCAGAUAUCAGGAAGAACACCAAUGGCGAAGGCAGAUCUCUGGGCCGUAACUGACGCUGAGGAGCGAAAGCAUGGGGAGCGAACAGG
rnacentral:rRNA from 1 species